CCUACGGGUUGCAGCAGGCGCGAAAACUUUACAAUGCGGGAAACCGUGAUAAGGGGAUCUCGAGUGCCAGCAUAUAAUGUUGGCUGUCCAGAUGCCUAAAAAGCAUCUGUUAGCAAGGGCCGGGCAAGACCGGUGCCAGCCGCCGCGGUAACACCGGCGGCCCGAGUGGUAACCGCUAUUAUUGGGUCUAAAGGGUCUGUAGCCGGCCAGGUAAGUCCCUUGGGAAAUCUGGCAGCUCAACUGUCAGGCUGCUAGGGGAUACUGUUUGGCUUGGGACCGGGAGAGGUGAGAGGUACCUUGGGGGUAGGGGUGAAAUCUUGUGAUCCUCGAGGGACCACCAGUGGCGAAGGCGUCUCACCAGAACGGGUCCGACGGUAAGGGACGAAAGCUAGGGGCACGAACCGGAUUAGAUACCCUAGUAGUC
rnacentral:rRNA from 1 species